rnacentral:lncRNA from 1 species
AAACCAUAAAAGUGAAACAUAAGUAGUACAAUAUCUGCUUCUAGUACAAAAAUGGUGGUCUCUAGUACACUGGUAAAACUCUCAACCUCUCACAAAAGAAACAAAGAGAGGUAGACCACCUAUCAAACGAUCCCUCGGUAAGCACGCUAGCCCGAGGUAAUACUCUUUCCGCGAUCCCUGGCCUCACCCUGUGUGGAAGGCUCUGAAAAACAACGAGAAAAAGAGGGCGUGAGAACUAUAAUUUAUAGUUCCCAGUGGGCAAUUACUAACCUCAGCUCAUGCUCCACUAGGCCCCAAAAAUAAGGGUAAGCAACGAUAAUAAUAAUAAGCAAUAAGGAGCAUGUAAAUAAACUGCUGAAAGAAAGCAUAAUUGAAAUGCUAGUCUACUGUGUCUCAAGUAAGCAUGAUGUCAACCAAAAUGUACAUCUAUUCUAUCAUCACAAUUAAGUCCAAUGGCACUAGUUUAAUGUUGUUAACCUUUGUCAAUACAUGAUGUAGAAGUUCUAUCAUGGCAACCAAGUAUACUACAUGUCUCACACUAUGCUAAAAGCAUGUAAAUGUAAUCCAACUACUAAGCCUAUCUAGUAGUGAUCAUUCAUUCUCAAACCGUGUCGAUUUUCAUUUCCAAUUAAGGAUUUACCCAAGGUAGUCCGGCUUGUGCCGCCUAAGUGCCUGUGGUAGCCCGACAUUCCUACACAUGGAAUGUGUCUGUCCCACUCGACCCCGUAGGCGUCUCAAUACCGCACGAGCGAACAAAAGUCGCAUAGGCCAACUCCGGAGUGCCGGCUUGUGGGGAGCGACCCUCACAAGCAUGUGCGAAUGAGCACAAAUGGCAAACAAGCAAGGUCACUGUCUCAAGUACCAAAUUCUCAUGUCUCUAACAUGGUAUAGUCACUAGCAUCCUGAAGAUCUAGUUCAAAGUCAUGAUGUGAAGUCCCAACACACACUUGCUUAGUGCCUCUUUAUGACACUCAAGCUCCACAACUAAUCAUGUUCCAAUUAAGCCAUUAACAUUAAUGCUCACUAUGCCCCGGGCCCCAAUGCCUCUUCAUGACAUUGGCCCAAUCUCACAUAUCAUCUAAGUCCCUAAGCCUCUCUAGGCUUCCAAAAAUUCCUAAUGUCACAUCUGGUAUAUAGUUGAAUGCAUGAAAGCAAGGUUCGUUUUCAUAAUAGGGAUUAUAAUUUCAAGUCUCAACUAGAAUGCUAGGCCGCACAUGCAUGCUCUCUACUAUAUAGAGGUCCCAAAAUUUACUACACAUAACCUAUGCAUGUUAAGCAUUCUAUAAUUCAUAAUAAAUACAUUUAACAUGAAAAUGCAAGAAUUUCAACUUUACGAAACAUUUAACACCAAAUAUGAGCAUUUCUCAUAUUGUAUGCUAGGCCAAACCCACCGAACCGUCGCGUAGGGUCUCGUUUCGCCGAACAAAGU